UUCUGGAGAUAUUAGUGUCUCUGUUCAGCCUGACACAUUUAACUACGCCAGUGAGUUCCACCACAAGGAGGAGAGUAUUCCCUGUUAUAUUGAACAGUUUGAGAAGGAUGUCCAGGAUGACAUAAUUGUUCUUGGCAGCCUUUCACAAAAUCAGGACCUGAGAUGUCAAAAAGGACACUUUGAGAAGGAAACAUUGCAUAGAAGAUCAAAUCUUACAUUUAAAAAAACAGAAAGUCAGUUGCUGAAUGCAGCAAAUGCCCACAGAGAAGAAAUUCUGGCCAAGCUUGGCACCCUCUCAGAUGUGAAUAAUGAAUCAAAUGGAGCAGCUAGGCUUUGCUGGAAGCUCCGAUGGUUAGAUAGACCACAACCCAUUCAAAUUCUCUUUAAAUGUCUGCGUGGAGUUAAAGACAAGGUCCCAAAGGGACACUACGUUCUGAAAGCUUCAUUGCUCAGUCGUCUUGGAGGACAUACUCUUCACUGGUCCAAAGCAAAGGAUCAACGCUGGGCAGAAACUUCACUUCCGGUGAAUCACAGUGGUCAAUACUAUGAUGUAGAAAUGACUCUAAACUACAGUGUA